AUUGAACGCUGGCGGCAGGCCUAACACAUGCAAGUCGAGCGAGCGGCGGACGGGUGAGUAUUGUCUGGGAAACUGCCUGUUGGAGGGGGGUAACUACUGGAAACGGUAGCUAAUACCGCAUACCAUCAGAUGUGUCCAGAUGGGAUUAGCUAGUAGGUGGGGUAAAGGCUCACCUAGGCGACGAUCCCUAGCUGGUUUGAGAGGAUGACCAGCCACACUGGAACUGAGACACGGUCCAGACUCCUACGGGAGGCAGCAGUGGGGAAUAUUGCACAAUGGGCGCAAGCCUGAUGCAGCCAUGCCGCGUGUGUGAAGAAGGCCUUCGGGUUGUAAAGCACUUUCAGCGGGGAGGCGUUACCCGCAGAAGAAGCACCGGCUAACUCCGUGCCAGCAGCCGCGGUAAUAC
rnacentral:rRNA from 1 species